rnacentral:lncRNA from 1 species
GGGGUUUCACCAUGUUGGUCAGGCUGGUCUCGAACUCCUGACCUCAUGAUCUGCCCACCUCGGCCUCCCAAAGUGCUGGGAUUAUAGGCAUGAGCCACCAUGCCUGGCAGGGUUAAUUUAUUUCAUCAAAACAGACUAAAGGUUUAGAGAGAUGUGCCUUUAUUUGAAUAUUGUGCAGUUUAAACCUGACUCAGUCAUGCUGUCCUUUUGAGCAGGAUCUUUAGAACAGAUACUUGUGAUUGGCUAAAGAAUAACCUCUGACAAUAGCAAAGGUCUCUUGGACAGAGCUGUUAAAACAAAACAAUGAAAUCUGUAUUUGUUUAAGAUUAGAAGGAUUUUUGAAAAGUAACUUUUCCUGCGGCAUGUCUGCUAGAAUAAAAGGUUCUCGUUUUAUUAAUGGCGAAAGAAUAGCUUUAGUUUGGAAUAGAGGUAGGCUAGACCAGUGAUUGCAAACUGAAACACCUACGAGAACCAGAUAGGUUAUAGAAAUGAGUGAAACAAGCCAAUUGGGGAGUGGGGAACUCGUGACCCUUACAAAUGAGGCUCAUGCUGGGUGCAUUGCCUGGCCACAGUGGCCAGCUUUCAGUUUUUUUCUAGAGAAGUUAGAUCUCAUAGUUAUUUAAAGAGAAUUUAAACACUGUGCUAAUCACACCUGCAGGACAGUUUUUCUUGUAGAUCACCAGUGUGGGAUUUUUUUUGAUGAAAGCUGAUGUUUGCAGAAAUUUAUAUCAACAGGAGGAAAGCAAGAUAAUCCCAGAGAGGAAGGUUUGAUGAUGGACAAGAGGUAGAUGAUGGAGUAUGAUGUUGGGGAACAAGCCACUGAAUAGACUGGUGCAGUUGAACCAGUAAUUGGCUAUUGUGAUCGAGCUGCAGGUUGUCGGUGUAUAUAAUUAUAUAAAUUAGUGUUUGGCAUCAAUAUUUCAGUUCCUAGAUGGGCUUUUGGGAAAUGCAGUAUCCCAAGGGACUGAGAUCACAAAAGUAAAAUUUCAGAACAAUCAAUGAACAUUUUUGGAUGGGGAGGGACCUAUCUUGAAUAUAGUCAUAAUAGGUGACUAAGUUUAUUACUGUGGGGUUUGAAAGAGGUUAUUUUACCUAUGAUUCAUAGUGCUUGGCACCUAGUAGGCAGUAAGUGUUUGUUACAUUGAGUAAGUAUAUCUCUGUGAUGCCAUCCUCAAAUCAAAGAAAGCUAUGUCUGAUAGCUGUCAGGGUGUUGGCAAAGCAUACUUUAGUCCUCAGUUUCUCAGUAAAUAGUGGUGAGA